UACAGAGGGUGCGAGUGUUGUUCGGAAUUAUUGGGCGUAAAGGGCGCGUAGGCGGUUGGGUAAGUCAGAUGUGAAAGCCCUGGGCUUAACUCAGGAAAUGCAUUUGAUACUGCUCAGCUCGAGUUCGGUAGAGGGUAGUGGAAUUCCCGGUGUAGAGGUGAAAUUCGUAGAGAUCGGGAGGAACACCAGUGGCGAGAGCGGCUACCUGGGCCGACACUGACGCUGAGGCGCGAGAGCGUGGGGAGCAAACAGG
rnacentral:rRNA from 1 species